ensembl:lncRNA
AGACAGACUAAAACUUGCCAGUCAAACACUUUUCUAACUUUGAUUUAAAGCAUUGAUUUCUUUGAUCCUUGGUUCGAAUCUCUUCCUUUGCCAAGGGUAGGCAAAUGGUUCUUAAGACAGAAGCAGCCUUCUUCCAUCAGCUAGGGGGUGACCUCAGAAGUAGAGGCCAUAGAGCCUCAUUCCAGGGCUGGUAUCAUUUUAAGUACAUCUGUACUAGGCACAUCUAAAUCUCUGUUCCUUAGUUUCCUGUUCUGUGAAAAAGCUGAACUGAUAAUAUUUUUUAAGCUAACUAACCUGACAAUACAGCAUUUAAAGAGCUAGAAAUGAGCUGCUCACUUAAGAAUGAAUUAUCCUGGAAGUUGUUCAAGCUGGUUUGAAGUCUAGCAAGUGUGUGGAAAUAAUCUGCCCAUUUUGGUUUGCAUUGUUCUAGAACCUGAAUAAGUCUUUCCCCCCAAAUGUUACAAAGACUUAAAACAGCUCUACAGAGAACUUAACUUUAGUUGGUAACAGGAAGACAAUAUAAAAACCGGUGUCCUUUCUCUUUGACCCACAGUCCCUUGUUCCUCAUCUUGGCUGACAAGCAGCUGACUCUAAAGUUUCCACUAAAUAUUAUGACUUUUGAGAAUGAGAUGGGAGACUCUUAAUACGCACAUUUAUUUUUAUGGACAAUUGUAGCUCAGUAGGUGGGUCAACUCCCACAGAAUUGUCUAGUAGGAAUCUCAUGGUAGCUUAUUAGGUAAUAUUUCCUGAGAUGGAAGGCCAUUCUUCUUUGCUAUCAAAUAAAGGUAAAAAAGGUUCUGUUAUCUCAUAGGCUAAUAGCCAUUCUAUUUGCCAUAGCAGGUCACUCCUCUUAAGGGAUGGGGCAGUAAGCUUAGUAGCUACUCCAGAGCUGCACCUGGAAUGUUGAUGAUUCUUGUUCAAUUCCCCAUUUCAGUGCAACCUGUGUCCAGGAUCCAGAAAACCACAAAGAGGAGACCUGAGCCCUGCUUCUGUGUCAUACAGAUUUGGCCUCCCAGAGACCUUCCUGUUUUCACCCUUAAGCUUAACCUUCUAUCCCUGUGGAAGAUUGCCCAGCAGUAUCUUUGGGACAGACUGACAAAAGGCACAAAGAAUUCUCACAUUGAAAUAAAAUCUACCCAGAAGACUUCAGAAAGAGAAUAGAAGGAAUUUUUUUUUCCUUUGCCUAUUUUCCCUCCUAAUACCAGUAGCAGGUAUACUCUAUAUACUUUAUAUACUCUCUCAAAAGACACAAGUACCCUACACAUCCCAAGUUUCUUCUUUACUCUCACUGUCACAUUCA